rnacentral:rRNA from 1 species
GACGAACGCUGGCGGCGUGCUUAACACAUGCAAGUCGAACGGAAAGGCCCUGCUUUUGUGGGGUGCUCGAGUGGCGAACGGGUGAGUAACACGUGAGUAACCUGCCCUUGACUUUGGGAUAACUUCAGGAAACUGGGGCUAAUACCGGAUAGGAGCUCCUGCUGCAUGGUGGGGGUUGGAAAGUUUCGGCGGUUGGGGAUGGACUCGCGGCUUAUCAGCUUGUUGGUGGGGUAGUGGCUUACCAAGGCUUUGACGGGUAGCCGGCCUGAGAGGGUGACCGGCCACAUUGGGACUGAGAUACGGACCAGACUCCUACGGGAGACAGCAGUGGGGAGUAUUGCACAGUGGGCGGAAGCCUGAUGCAGCAACGCCGCGUGCGGGAUGACGGCCUUCGGGUUGUAAACCGCUUUCGCCUGUGACGAAGCGUGAGUGACGGUAAUGGGUAAAGAAGCACCGGCUAACUACGUG